AGUCUAGUGGCUAAGGACUCCUGGUUUUCAAUCAGGCUGCCCAGGUUCAAUUCCUGA
rnacentral:tRNA from 1 species